UGGAAACAUACUCAAGUGGUUAAGAGGGCACCCUGCUAAGGUGUUAGGUCGUUCUGCGGCGCGUGGGUUCGAAUCCCACUGUUUCCGCCAU
rnacentral:tRNA from 3 species